AUGGCCUCAAAUCAACCGAAUGCCACUAUACCUAACAUCUUCACAUUUCUGUGGCGUUUAUGGAAGGCAAGAAAUGCUGCUCUCUUUUCUAGGAAAGAAUCUCUUCCUCACUAUAUCCAGCUUGCUGCUGCUGCCAUCUCUUCAGCUCAAUUUUUGCAGGAUUACCAAGAAGAUUGUGCUUCUUCCUCACUCCAAAGAACUGAUGUUCAGCCAAUUAUUCAAGUCCAGGCUGAUGAACAAGUAAUGCAAGGGUAUACUGUCAAAUCAGAUUUUCUUAUUACAGGAACAAAAAUAUACUUUGAUGCUUCUUGGCGAAAGAAGAACAUCCUAGGUCGAGGACAAGGACUGGGAACCGGAAUUGGAGUGUUUAUUCAGAUUCCAGGAGACGAGACUGAAAGGAAAAUCAUGAUCCAAGCUUCUGCAGGUGAUGCUCACUCCCCUCUAUGCGCUGAAGCAUUGGCGCUUCAACUUGCAGCAAGAGUCGCCACACAAAUGCAAUUUCAGCACACUACUUUCUUCAUGUAUAAUCUCUCGUUGGCCAAGAUGGUUGCUUCAAGGAACAUAAAUGAUGACUUGAUCAACUGGAGGUGUCGCGCCCCAAUUAGCAGUUUUCUUCAGGACACUUCUUCUAUCCAGACUACAGUUUACCAUAUUAACAGGAACAUCAAUGGAAUAGCUCAUGAUUGUGCUCAUCAGGUUCUCAACUCAAGAGUAGAAUCUGUCUUUAGUUGUACUCAUUCCUCUCAAAGCAGUUCUUUUUGCCCAACUUUGCUUUAUCUUCAUAACUUCCAAGUUCAGGGAUAUGUAAUACAUGUUGUACUAUGCUUUUGA
rnacentral:rRNA from 1 species